UACGUAGGGUGCGAGCGUUGUCCGGAAUUAUUGGGCGUAAAGAGCUUGUAGGCGGUUUGUCGCGUCUGCUGUGAAAUCUCAAGGCUCAACCUUGAGCUUGCAGUGGGUACGGGCAGACUAGAGUGUGGUAGGGGAGACUGGAAUUCCUGGUGUAGCGGUGAAAUGCGCAGAUAUCAGGAGGAACACCAGUGGCGAAGGCGGCUCACUGGACUGGUACUGACGCUGAUGCGCGAAAGCGUGGGGAGCAAACAGG
rnacentral:rRNA from 1 species